GUGGGGAAUCUUGCGCAAUGGGCGAAAGCCUGACGCAGCCAUGCCGCAUGAAUGAUGAAGGUCUUAGGAUUGUAAAAUUCUUUCACCGGGGACGAUAAUGACGGUACCCGGAGAAGAAGCUCCGGCUAACUUCGUGCCAGCAGCCGCGGUAAUACGAAGGGGGCUAGCGUUGCUCGGAAUUACUGGGCGUAAAGGGCGCGUAGGCGGACAGCUUAGUCAGAGGUGAAAGCCCAGGGCUCAACCUUGUAAUUGCCUUUGAUACUGGCUGUCUUGAGUUUGGGAGAGGUGAGUGGAACUCCGAGUGUAGAGGUGAAAUUCGUAGAUAUUCGGAAGAACACCAGUGGCGAAGGCGACUCACUGGCCCAAUACUGACGCUGAGGCGCGAAAGCGUGGGGAGCAAACAGGAUUAGAUACCCUAGUAGUCC
rnacentral:rRNA from 1 species